GCAGUCGCGGCCGAGUGGUUAAGGCGAUGGUCUAGAAAUCCAUUGAGGUCUCCCCGCACAGGUUCGAAUCCUGUCGACUGCG
rnacentral:tRNA from 2 species